UACGUAGGUGGCAAGCGUUGUCCGGAUUUAUUGGGUUUUAAGGGUGCGUAGGCGGCCUAUUAAGUCAGUGCUGAAAUAUCCCGGCUUAACCGGGAGGGUGGCAUUGAUACUGAUGGGCUUGAGUAAAGUUGAGGUAGGCGGAAUUGACGGUGUAGCGGUGAAAUGCUUAGAUAUCGUCAAGAACACCUAUUGCGAAGGCAGCUUACUAAGCUUUAACUGACGCUGAUGCACGAAAGUGUGGGGAUCAAACAGG
rnacentral:rRNA from 1 species